UACGUAGGGUGCAAGCGUUGUCCGGAAUUAUUGGGCGUAAAGAGCUCGUAGGCGGUUUGUCGCGUCUGCUGUGAAAACUCGGGGCUUAACCCCGGGCCUGCAGUGGGUACGGGCAGACUAGAGUGCGGUAGGGGAGACUGGAAUUCCUGGUGUAGCGGUGAAAUGCGCAGAUAUCAGGAGGAACACCGGUGGCGAAGGCGGUUCUCUGGGCCUGUACUGACGCUGAGGAACGAAAGCGUGGGGAGCGAACAGG
rnacentral:rRNA from 1 species